GAGGGUGUAGCUCAAGUGGUAGAGUGCGUGCUUAGCAUGCAUGAGGUCCUGGGUUCAAUCCCCAGUACCUCCU
rnacentral:tRNA from 1 species